rnacentral:rRNA from 1 species
UACAGAGGAGCCAAGCGUUGUCCGGAUUGACUGGGCGUAAAGCGCACGCAGGCGGUCGCGCGCGUGGGGUGUGAAAUCUGGCCGCUUAACGGCCAGGCGCCAUCCCAUACGGCACGACUGGAGUGAUGCAGAGGUCGAUGGAAUUGCCGGUGUAGUGGUGAAAUGCGCAGAUAUCAGGAAGAACACCCGUGGCGAAGGCGGCUCUCUGGGACGGUACUGACGCUGAGACGCGAAAGCGUGGGGAGCGAACAGG